CACAUUGUAGCUCAACUGGUAAGAGCAUGAGAUUAGAAUCUCAAGGUUCUGGGUUCGAGUCCCGGCGUGUGC
rnacentral:tRNA from 1 species